rnacentral:lncRNA from 13 species
AUGGCUUGGUGUCAUGUUCAAGGUUCCUGUUCAACCAUAGAAGUUAAAGAAUUAAGUGGGAGCUUGGCAUUCCUGAGUCCAGGCCUAGACUCUUUGACAGGAUAUCUGGACCUCCCCUUGGUCGUAGAGAAGCACACUGCCCUUAAGGAUCCUUUGAGUUAUAGCAAUUUUAUUAUGUUCUUGCGAUGUGAUCUACUCUCUGCUGUGCUUCAUGACAGUCCUGGAUCUUUUCCUCAUGACCAAAGCAAUAUGUCAAGGAGUAAUUUUUUCAAUUGCUCCCAGAAAAUAGAUUCUGUCUGGUAUGUUUCUGUUUGUUUGAUCUUUUGCUUCCCUCUAGCGGCCAAUGUUUGUAUAUGUAUAUGAGGCUAGCAAAGGGGUGUGUGUGUGUGUGUGUGUGUGUGUGUGCGCGCGCCGGCGCACGUCUGUGUAAAAUUUAUGGAAUUUCUAUGGUUUUCAUCUUGUCACUCCAUUGCUAG